GUGCAAACGUUGCUCGGAAUCAUUGGGCGUAAAGCGCACGUAGGCGGUUUGUUAAGUCGGAUGUGAAAACUCUGGGCUUAACCCAGAGCCUGCAUUCAAAACUGACAGGCUAGAGUUCUGGAGGGGGAAGCGGAAUUCCUGGUGUAGCGGUGAAAUGCGUAGAUAUCAGGAGGAACACCGGUGGCGAAGGCGGCUUCCUGGACAGAAACUGACGCUGAGGCGCGAAAGCUAGGGGAGCAAACAGG
rnacentral:rRNA from 1 species